rnacentral:rRNA from 1 species
AUUGAACGCUGGCGGCAUGCCUUACACAUGCAAGUCGAACGGUAACAGGUCUUCGGAUGCUGACGAGUGGCGAACGGGUGAGUAAUACAUCGGAACGUGCCCGAGAGUGGGGGAUAACGAGUCGAAAGCUUUGCUAAUACCGCAUACGAUCUCAGGAUGAAAGCAGGGGACCGCAAGGCCUUGCGCUCACGGAGCGGCCGAUGGCAGAUUAGGUAGUUGGUGGGAUAAAAGCUUACCAAGCCGACGAUCUGUAGCUGGUCUGAGAGGACGACCAGCCACACUGGGACUGAGACACGGCCCAGACUCCUACGGGAGGCAGCAGUGGGGAAUUUUGGACAAUGGGCGCAAGCCUGAUCCAGCCAUGCCGCGUGCAGGAUGAAGGCCUUCGGGUUGUAAACUGCUUUUGUACGGAGCGAAAAGACUCUGGUUAAUACCUGGGGUCCAUGACGGUACCGUAAGAAUAAGCACCGGCUAACUACGUGCCAGCAGCCGCCGUAAUAC